rnacentral:rRNA from 1 species
CUAGUUGGCGGGGUAACGGCCCACCAAGGCGACGAUCUGUAGCUGGUUUGAGAGAACGACCAGCCACACUGGGACUGAGACACGGCCCAGACUCCUACGGGAGGCAGCAGUGGGGAAUUUUGGACAAUGGGCGAAAGCCUGAUCCAGCCAUGCCGCGUGAGUGAAGAAGGCCUUCGGGUUGUAAAGCUCUUUCGGCGGGGACGAAAUAGCGCGGGGUAACAUCCCGCGUCGAUGACGGUACCCGAAGAAGAAGGACCGGCUAACUACGUGCCAGCAGCCGCGGUAAUACGUAGGGUCCAAGCGUUAAUCGGAAUUACUGGGCGUAAAGCGUGAGUAGGCGGCUUCGCAAGUCCGAUGUGAAAUCCCCCGG